rnacentral:rRNA from 1 species
GAUGAACGCUAGCGGCAGGCCUAACACAUGCAAGUCGAGGGGUAACAUAGAAAAGCUUGCUUUUCUGAUGACGACCGGCGCACGGGUGCGUAACGCGUAUACAACCUACCUUUUAGCGGGGAAUAGCCCAGGGAAACUUGGAUUAAUGCCCCAUAGUAUAUAGACUUCUCCUGAAGUUUAUAUUAAACAUUUAUGGCUAUUAGAUGGGUAUGCGUCCUAUUAGUUAGUUGGUAAGGUAACGGCUUACCAAGGCAGCGAUAGGUAGGGGUCCUGAGAGGGAGAUCCCCACACUGGUACUGAGACACGGACCAGACUCCUACGGGAGGCAGCAGUGAGGAAUAUUGGACAAUGGGCGAGAGCCUGAUCCAGCCAUGCCGCGUGCAGGAAGACUGCCCUAUGGGUUGCAAACUGCUUUUACAGAGGAAGAACCACCCCCACGUGUGGGGGUUUGACGGUACUCUGCGAAUAAGGAUCGGCUAACUCCGUG